CGUGAAUAAUCCACAAUGAAAUGUUUAGAAAAAACAGGCUAAAACAAUUAUAAAAACAUCAAACAGAAAACUUAAUCAUUUUAAUGUAACAAUUACUGUACGACUUCCAUCUUUUGAUGUUGAUGAGGCUAGAGGAUCACCUUGUAACUUAUUAACAUUAUCGCCGAUGUUCAAGAUGUCUUGUACAAUGGUUAAAUAUAAAAUCUAAAAAAUUAUAUAAAAGAAAAUUUUACAACUAUAGGUACAGAAAAUGGUUAUUUAAAGCACAAAUACUCCUGAACAGAAAUAGCUCCAUGUGACAACAACUUCAUUAAUUUAAAAGGCUCCUGGGUUUCCUGAUUAUGGUAAAUUAUAUUUUUGUAUAACAAUUUUUAUUACUCACGUAUCCUUAAACUUGUAGGAUUUACAUAUUAUGUAUGUAGUCACAUUAAAAUAGUUAAAAUGAAAAUCGAAAUUAAUACUAGAUUGGUAUGAAAAAUUUAUUUUCACUGUAAGUGUCGAUGUGUGUAACAAUUUUUACGUAAAUAUACACGAAUUUAAAUGACGAA